rnacentral:rRNA from 1 species
GACGAACUGUCCUAACGUUGUUCGGAAUCACUGGGCUUAAAGGGCGCGUAGGCGGUCCGACAAGUCAGGGGUGAAAUCCUGGAGCUCAACUCCAGAACUGCCUUUGAUACUGAAGAUCUUGAGUUCGGGAGAGGUGAGUGGAACUGCGAGUGUAGAGGUGAAAUUCGUAGAUAUUCGCAAGAACACCAGUGGCGAAGGCGGCUCACUGGCCCGAUACUGACGCUGAGGCACGAAAGCGUGGGGAGCAAACAGG